rnacentral:rRNA from 1 species
AGAGUUUGAUCCUGGCUCAGGAUGAACGCUAGCUACAGGCUUAACACAUGCAAGUCGAGGGGCAGCAUGGUCUUAGCUUGCUAAGGCCGAUGGCGACCGGCGCACGGGUGAGUAACACGUAUCCAACCUGCCGUCUACUCUUGGACAGCCUUCUGAAAGGAAGAUUAAUACAAGAUGGCAUCAUGAGUCCGCAUGUUCACAUGAUUAAAGGUAUUCCGGUAGACGAUGGGGAUGCGUUCCAUUAGAUAGUAGGCGGGGUAACGGCCCACCUAGUCUUCGAUGGAUAGGGGUUCUGAGAGGAAGGUCCCCCACAUUGGAACUGAGACACGGUCCAAACUCCUACGGGAGGCAGCAGUGAGGAAUAUUGGUCAAUGGGCGAGAGCCUGAACCAGCCAAGUAGCGUGAAGGAUGACUGCCCUAUGGGUUGUAAACUUCUUUUAUAAAGGAAUAAAGUCGGGUAUGCAUACCCGUUUGCAUGUACUUUAUGAAUAAGGAUCGGCUAACUCCGUGCCAGCAGCCGCGGUAAUACGGAGGAUCCGAGCGUUAUCCGGAUUUAUUGGGUUUAAAGGGAGCGUAGAUGGAUGUUUAAGUCAGUUGUGAAAGUUUGCGGCUCAACCGUAAAAUUGCAGUUGAUACUGGAUAUCUUGAGUGCAGUUGAGGCAGGCGGAAUUCGUGGUGUAGCGGUGAAAUGCUUAGAUAUCACGAAGAACUCCGAUUGCGAAGGCAGCCUGCUAAGCUGCAACUGACAUUGAGGCUCGAAAGUGUGGGUAUCAAACAGGAUUAGAUACCCUGGUAGUCCACACGGUAAACGAUGAAUACUCGCUGUUUGCGAUAUACGGCAAGCGGCCAAGCGAAAGCGUUAAGUAUUCCACCUGGGGAGUACGCCGGCAACGGUGAAACUCAAAGGAAUUGACGGGGGCCCGCACAAGCGGAGGAACAUGUGGUUUAAUUCGAUGAUACGCGAGGAACCUUACCCGGGCUUAAAUUGCAGAUGAAUUACGGUGAAAGCCGUAAGCCGCAAGGCAUCUGUGAAGGUGCUGCAUGGUUGUCGUCAGCUCGUGCCGUGAGGUGUCGGCUUAAGUGCCAUAACGAGCGCAACCCUUGUUGUCAGUUACUAACAGGUUCUGCUGAGGACUCUGACAAGACUGCCAUCGUAAGAUGUGAGGAAGGUGGGGAUGACGUCAAAUCAGCACGGCCCUUACGUCCGGGGCUACACACGUGUUACAAUGGGGGGUACAGAGGGCCGCUACCACGCGAGUGGAUGCCAAUCCCCAAAACCUCUCUCAGUUCGGACUGGAGUCUGCAACCCGACUCCACGAAGCUGGAUUCGCUAGUAAUCGCGCAUCAGCCACGGCGCGGUGAAUACGUUCCCGGGCCUUGUACACACCGCCCGUCAAGCCAUGGGAGCCGGGGGUACCUGAAGUGCGUAACCGCGAGGAGCGCCCUAGGGUAAAACUGGUGACUGGGGCUAAGUCGUAACAAGGUAGCCGUACCGGAAGGUGCGGCUG